CAGCACCUCAAGUGGUCAGGAUGAUUAUUGGGCCUAAAGCAUCCGUAGCCGGCUCUGUAAGUUUUCGGUUAAAUCUGUACGCUUAACGUACAGGCUGCCGGGAAUACUGCAGAGCUAGGGAGUGGGAGAGGUAGACGGUACCCGGUAGGAAGGGGUAAAAUCCUUUGAUCUAUUGAUGACCACCUGUGGCGAAGGCGGUCUACCAGAACACGUCCGACGGUGAGGGAUGAAAGCUGGGGGAGCAAACCGGAUUAGAUACCCGAGUAGUCC
rnacentral:rRNA from 1 species